UACGAAGGGGGCUAGCGUUGUUCGGAAUCACUGGGCGUAAAGCGCGCGUAGGCGGCCCUGUAAGUCCGUUGUGAAAGUCAAAGGCUCAACCUUUGAAAGCCGAUGGAUACUGCAGGGCUAGAGUCCGGAAGAGGCGAGUGGAAUUCCUGGUGUAGCGGUGGAAUGCGCAGAUAUCAGGAGGAACACCAACGGCGAAGGCAGCUCGCUGGGACGGUACUGACGCUAAGGCGCGAAAGCGUGGGGAGCGAACAGG
rnacentral:rRNA from 1 species